rnacentral:rRNA from 1 species
UCGAGCGGACAUGGGAGCUUGCUCCCUGAUGUUAGCGGCGGACGGGUGAGUAACACGUGGGUAACCUGCCUGUAAGACUGGGAUAACUCCGGGAAACCGGGGCUAAUACCGGAUGGUUGUUUGAACCGCAUGGUUCAGACAUAAAAGGUGGCUUCGGCUACCACUUACAGAUGGACCCGCGGCGCAUUAGCUAGUUGGUGAGGUAACGGCUCACCAAGGCGACGAUGCGUAGCCGACCUGAGAGGGUGAUCGGCCACACUGGGACUGAGACACGGCCCAGACUCCUACGGGAGGCAGCAGUAGGGAAUCUUCCGCAAUGGACGAAAGUCUGACGGAGCAACGCCGCGUGAGUGAUGAAGGUUUUCGGAUCGUAAAGCUCUGUUGUUAGGGAAGAACAAGUGCCGUUCAAAUAGGGCGGCACCUUGACGGUACCUAACCAGAAAGCCACGGCUAACUACGUGCCAGCAGCCGCGGUAAUACGUAGGUGGCAAGCGUUGUCCGGAAUUAUUGGGCGUAAAGGGCUCGCAGGCGGUUUCUUAAGUCUGAUGUGAAAGCCCCCGGCUCAACCGGGGAGGGUCAUUGGAAACUGGGGAACUUGAGUGCAGAAGAGGAGAGUGGAAUUCCACGUGUAGCGGUGAAAUGCGUAGAGAUGUGGAGGAACACCAGUGGCGAAGGCGACUCUCUGGUCUGUAACUGACGCUGAGGAGCGAAAGCGUGGGGAGCGAACAGGAUUAGAUACCCUGGUAGUCCACGCCGUAAACGAUGAGUGCUAAGUGUUAGGGGGGUUUCCGCC